UGCACCCAGGUGAAAUAAACAGCCUUGUUGCUCACACAAAGUCUGUUUGGUGGUCUCUUCACAUGGACGCACAUGACAUUUGGGCAGGGGACCUCCCUUGAGAGAUCAAUCCCCUGUCCUCCCGCUCUUUGCUCCAUGAGAAAGAUCCACCUACAACCUUGGGUCCUCAGACCAACCAGCCCAAGAAACAUCUCACCAAUUUUAAAUCGGGUAAUGUGACUUGUCCCAAAUCCUCCUUCUUUCCCUCCUGCCUGUCCCCUCAGUCCCAACCCCAAGCGUCACUGAGUCUUUUCAAAAUCUAUACUGUAGACUCCAUCCUCCCACUUUUAGAGAGAAUCUUGCGGUAGAUCUCACAGCUUAUGUGUGUAUUAAAUAAGGACUCUCCUUUUCCAGGUAUUAAAAAGCCUUGUCCACUGUAAUAUCAAAACUCAAAGCUGUCAUCCAACUUACAACUUAUAUUUUUCCUCAGGCUGGGGAUCUUGCCGUGGGGAAAGGAGGAGGGGUUAGCUCCUUCUCUCCCUGGGACCACCUCCUCUCUUACUUCCUAGCUGCAUUUUCUGUUUGACAAAGGUGGACAGGAAGAAGCAGUAAAUGAAGGCGAGUCUUAUUUGAUUGGCACAGUUAACAGGGCACUGGUACCCGCUAGUCAUGGCAGAUGACAAAGCUGACUCUCUCUUGCAGGACACUUCUGACAGUUCCUUAGAUUCUCUACCUACUUUACCUCCCAGACCUCCCACUACAUUUGCCUAGAGAGCCCCCUCACCUUCAGUAACGAAUGUUUGCUGUGCUCACAGCCAGAAGCCCUUUUCCUUUUCAAGAGUGUUUGUAGCC
rnacentral:lncRNA from 1 species